GCAUCAGUGCAGCCGAGUGGUAAGAUGCAAGGCUCAUAACCACAAGGUUGCCGGUUUGACUCCCCGCUGGGGCA